AUUGAACGCUGGCGGCAGGCCUAACACAUGCAGGUCGAACGGUAACAGGAAGAAGCUUGCUUCUUUGCUGACGAGUGGCGGACGGGUGAGUAAUGUCUGGGAAACUGCCUGAUGGAGGGGGAUAACUACUGGAAACGGUAGCUAAUACCGCAUAACGUCGCAAGACCAAAGAGGGGGACCUUCGGGCCUCUUGCCAUCGGAUGUGCCCAGAUGGGAUUAGCUAGUAGGUGGGGUAACGGCUCACCUAGGCGACGAUCCCUAGCUGGUCUGAGAGGAUGACCAGCCACACUGGAACUGAGACACGGUCCAGACUCCUACGGGAGGCAGCAGUGGGGAAUAUUGCACAAUGGGCGCAAGCCUGAUGCAGCCAGGCCGCGUGUAUGAAGAAGGCCUUCGGGUUGUAAAGUACUUUCAGCGGGGAGGAAGGGAGUAAAGUUAAUACCUUUGCUCAUUGACGUUACCCGCAGAAGAAGCACCGGCUAACUCCGUG
rnacentral:rRNA from 1 species